UCUCUCUCUCUCUCUCUCUCCUCUGCACGCAUUUAUUUCUUCUCUCUCUUCUCCUCCUUCGUUUUCGCAUCGAAGAGGAAAACUCACCGCUCUUUCCUCUCUGGCUUUCAAAUUUAUUUUGAAUCUCUGCGAUUUCGCUCUCAAAUUUCGCUCGGCUUCCUCGUUGCUCCCCCCUCUCCGACGAAGCCAAGGUUUGGGUCCCUCGUCCUCGCUCCGUCUUUGCUCCAGCGCACGCUCGCUCUCGAAAAAAUCCGGCGCUCGGUACGUCGCUCGCUCGCUGCUCUUUCGCUCGCUCCGUCUCUGCUCCGGCGCAGCUUUCCUUCGCCCAUUAAUCUGCUGGGGCGACCGAGAUUUGGGGAUCCCAUUUUCACUUCAUUCAGGUGGUAGACAGUGGUGAAAUUUCGCAUAGUGCUUGUGAUGGUGGUCCAGAAGAACUCCCAGUAGUUCUGGCCGGGCACUUCUGGACGAACGUGUAGGGAUGAGCUCAACUAUAGUUCCUGACCAGCAUCAUCAGUCCAGCAGCCGAUCCAGCCUCGGUUCUGAUGGGGCUGCAUCUCCUUAUGCAGGAUGUGAAGAUAGCCAUUUUCGUAGAGCAAAAGAGGAAUUGCAAUCAAUGGUCAAAAGCCUUUUGAGAGAAAUUGAUUUAGGUCAUGGUGAGUUUAAGGAAAUAGCGAGGUGUUCCACUCAUACUGUAUUGGUUGCUUGUGGCCUUGAGCACAGGAGGAGCGAGGUCUACACGAUCCGUCUGCCAUCCUUUUAUUCCCACAUAGACAAAAUGGCAACUGGACAGACAAGUCUGAUGAGUGGAGUUUGCUCAACAUGUUUUGAUGUUUUUGUCAGAGAUGUAACCCAAAACAUAAUGUACACAAGAGUACCACUGCGUUGGUUAAGUUUAGGUCUUUACGAAUUGAUAAACAUGGGCUGCCAUUUUUUGCACGUCCAUGGUUAAUUUUGGGGGGAUUUAGAUGAGAAGUAGGGGGGUUUUUGUCCAUACUGAUAACUGUUCGUGGUCCCAAGAGGAUCCAUUUUUCUGUGACUACAUUGAUGAUAUUUAUGUUUUGGUUGAAGGGGUCCUAUUUUUGGAA